rnacentral:rRNA from 1 species
UUGAACGCUGGCGGCAUGCCUUACACCUGCCAGUCGCACGGCAGCACGGGUGCUUGCACCUGGUGGCGAGUGGCGAACGGGUGAGUAAUACAUCGGAACAUGUCCUGUAGUGGGGGAUAGCCCGGCGAAAGCCGGAUUAAUACCGCAUACGAUCUACGGAUGAAAGCGGGGGACCUUCGGGCCUCGCGCUAUAGGGUUGGCCGAUGGCUGAUUAGCUAGUUGGUGGGGUAAAGGCCUACCAAGGCGACGAUCAGUAGCUGGUCUGAGAGGACGACCAGCCACACUGGGACUGAGACACGGCCCAGACUCCUACGGGAGGCAGCAGUGGGGAAUUUUGGACAAGGGGCGAAAGCCUGAUCCAGCAAUGCCGCGUGUGUGAAGAAGGCCUUCGGGGUGUAAAGCACUUUUGUCCGGAAAGAAAUCCUUGGCCCUAAGACGGUCGGGGGAUGACGGUACCGGAAGAAUAAGCACCGGCUAACUACGU